rnacentral:lncRNA from 1 species
UAGCAUUGAUCCGUUCUUGAAGCAUGUUAAUGUAAUCUAGAAUGGAUUCUUUCUUCUCCAUGCUUAGCAGUUCAUAUUGCCUUCUUAAUGUAUGCACCUUAACCUUACUCUUUUUUUUUCUCUAUCAUCUUAUGUUUUCAUUAGAAUCUGCUGUGGGUAGAGACCUUGGAAAUCUUGUUGAAUAUUUGAAUUGAUACAUUGGCAAAUGAGCAUGCAUUGAUAUCAAGUUUUUGUUGUUGUUUGAACAUUUAUAAUAAUUUAUUAAUGUUUUAAUAUAUAAAAACAAUGAACAAAGCAUCCACAACUUCGUUCUUCUUUUCUCAUUUC